UGUCUCCUACGGGAGGCAGCAGUAGGGAAUCUUCCACAAUGGGCGAAAGCCUGAUGGAGCAACGCCGCGUGGGUGAAGAAGGUCUUCGGAUCGUAAAACCCUGUUGUUAGAGAAGAAAGUGCGUGAGAGUAACUGUUCACGUUUCGACGGUAUCUAACCAGAAAGACACGGCUAACUACGUGCCAGCAGCCGCGUGAAUACGUAGGAGGCAAGCGUUAUCUGGAUUUAUUGGGCGUAAAGGGAACGCAGGAGGUCUUUUA
rnacentral:rRNA from 1 species